rnacentral:rRNA from 1 species
GAAUUUCGGACAAUGGGGGCAACCCUGAUCCAGCCAUCCAGCGUGUGCGAUGAAGGCCUUCGGGUUGUAAAGCACUUUUGGCAGGGCAGAAAAGGAUCUGGCUAAUACAUGGAGCUGCUGACGGUCACUGCAGAACAACCACAGGCUACCUACGUGCCAGCAGCCGCGGUAAUACGUAGGGUGCAAGCGUUAAUCGGAAUUACUGGGCGUAAGGCGUGCGCAGGCGGUUUGGCAAGAAGGAUAUGAAAUCCCAGGGCUUAACCUUGGAACUGCAUUCUUAACUGCCAGGCUAGAGUAUGUCAGAGGGGGGUAGAAUUCCACGUGUAGCAGUGAAAUGCGUAGAGAUGUGGAGGAAUACCGAUGGCGAAGGCAGCCCCCUGGGAUAAUACUGACGCUCAUGCACGAAAGCGUGGGGAGCAAACA